AACGAACGCUGGCGGCAUGCCUAACACAUGCAAGUCGAACGAGACCUUCGGGUCUAGUGGCGCACGGGUGCGUAACGCGUGGGAACCUGCCCUUAGGUUCGGAAUAACUCCCCGAAAGGGGUGCUAAUACCGGAUAAUGUCUUCGGACCAAAGAUUUAUCGCCUUUGGAUGGGCCCGCGUUGGAUUAGCUAGUUGGUAGGGUAAAAGCCUACCAAGGCGACGAUCCAUAGCUGGUCUGAGAGGAUGAUCAACCACACUGGGACUGAGACACGGCCCAGACUCCUACGGGAGGCAGCAGUGGAGAAUAUUGGACAAUGGGCGAAAGCCUGAUCCAGCAAUGCCGCGUGAGUGAUGAAGGCCUUAGGGUUGUAAAGCUCUUUUACCCGGGAUGAUAAUGACAGUACCGGGAGAAUAAGCUCCGGCUAACUCCGUG
rnacentral:rRNA from 1 species